rnacentral:tRNA from 4 species
AAUGGAGUAGUUUAUUAAGAAUAAUGGGUUUGCGUCUCAUUGGUGGAAUUUAAUUCUUUCCGUUA